AUGACUCAAAAAUCUUGGAUCCUUGGGCUCUUAGGCUGUCAGACUCGUAGAAUCUUGGAUCCUUGGGUUCUCAGAAUAGAUGACUCGAAGUCUUGGAUCCUUGGGCUUUCAGACUGUUGGACUCUUAACAAAAUCUUGGAUCCUUGGGUUCUUAGAAUAGAUGACUCGAAGUCUUGGAUCCUUGGGCUUUCAGACUGUUGGACUCUUAACAAAAUCUUGGAUCCUUGGGUUCUUAGAAUACAUGACUCAGUAUCUCAGAUCCUUGGGCUCUCAGAAAAAAUCUCAGAAUCUCGGAUCCUUGGUUUCUCGGAUCCAGACUGUCUGAAUCUCUGUCUCUCUCUGACUGUCUGGCGGAUCCUCACCAGCCUUUCUCUCGCUGAUUUUCUCCAGAUGUGACUGGUUAGAGCUGGCAUGAACAUGAGGUUGAGAUAAUCAGUAGGAAUGUGUGUGUGUGUGUGUGUGUGUGAUAAAGAGUGUUUGUUUCAGGGACAGGAAAAGACUCAGGAAAAGGCUCAGGAAAGGGUCAGGAAAAGGGUGGGCCUUAAGUAACACAGAUCUCCCACCGAUCACACUGACCAUUGUUUACAGACAAUGCUAGUCAGCAGUAAUGCUGUGAUAUGUGUUGGUUGCUAAGGUUUUGCUACAGUAUAUGUGUUGAUUGCAAAUGUGUAUCUAGGUCGUUGCUAAGGUGUGGCUACAGUAAAUGUGAUUACAUCAUAAUGGUCCAUCAGGAUUUUGUCCUCUCUUGGUCUCUUCCUUACUUGGAACUGGUCUUUUCUCUGCCUCAUCCUGCUUGGAAAUCAGACUUGUCUUUAUCUGUCUUUAUUUUUGUUUGGGAAUUGGUCUCAUCUUUGUCUCUUUUCCUUACUAGGAAUUAGUCCUGAUUGGAAAUUGGUGUCCUCUUGGAAACGUCCUCAUUGGGAACUGGUCUUGUCUUGGUCUUGUCCUGAUUGGGAAUUGAUCUCAUCUUGGACUUGUCUUCAUUCUGAAUUAGUUUUGUCUUGGUCUUAUCAUAAUUAGAAAUUAGUCUCAUCCUGAACUCAUCUUUAUUGGGAAUUGGUCUGGUUUUGGUCUCUUACUUGGAAUUGGUCUUAUCUCUGUCUCAUCCUGCUUGGAAAUGCAGUGUCUUUGUCUUGUCCUGUUUGGGAAUUGGUCUCAUCUUUGUCUCAUCCUCAUUGGGAACUGGUCUUGUCUUGGUCUUUUCUUCACUGGGAAUUAGUCUCGCCCUGAUAGGACAUUGGUGUCCUCUUGGAAACAUUGUUUUUUGAAACUGGUCUUGUCUUGGUCUUGUCCUGAUUGGGAAUUGAUCUCAUCUUGGACUUGUCUUCAUUCUAAAUUGGUUUGGUGUUGGUCUUAUCAUGAUUAGGAAUUAGUCUUAUCUUGGUUUUCUGCUGCUUGGGAAUUGGUCUCAUCUUGGUCUUGUCCUCAUUAGUAAUUGGUCUCAUUUCUGUCUUGUCCUGAUGGGGGAAUUGGUAUUAUCUUUGUCUCAUCCUGAUUGGGAAUUGGUCUUGCCUUGGUCUUAUCCUCAUUGUUAAUGAGGACAUUAAUGACAUCAAGGACAUUACUGACCAUUGGACAUUAAUGAAUAUUUAUCGGUGCUGGUAGUACAAGUAAUAUUUAGGACAUGUGAAAUCAAAUCUUUUAUUAAAAAAUAUAAAACAGCACAUGCAUUUCAGUUCACUUAAUAACACAAUCAAUAGUACCAGUAGAAUCAGUUGGAAUAGUGAGGGGAUCUGAUACACUGUAUAGUUUCCUAAUGAACCAUGCCGUCAUUUUAUAGUUUAUAUGCACUUAAUGUAAGAGAAUCUAUUAAAAUGUAAUAAUAUAGAACUAUGGCGUAAUGGUUGUCUAAAGUUUAACAAAUAUAUUAAAUCAAAGCUAAUCAGGUUAAUUUAGUUUAUUAAGUUCAUUAAAUUGUUUAAUGAAUUGAAUUAUAGUUGAACUGUUUCCUAACUGAAUCAUCAUGAAUCAUCAUGAAUCAUUGUGAAUUGUUGUGAAUCAUUGUUAAUCACUCUGAAUCAUUGUGAAUCACUGUGAAUCAUUGUGAAUCACUAUGAAUCUCUGUAAAUUGUUGUAAAUUGUUGUGAAUCACUGUGAAUUGUAGUGAAUCAUUGUGAAUCACUGUAAAUUGUUGUGAAUCACUGUAAAUUGUAGUGAAUCAUUGUGAAUCACUGUGAAUUGUUGUGAAUCACUGUAAAUUGCUGUGAAUCACUGUGAAUCGUUGUGAAUCGCUGUGAAUUGUUGUGGAUCCUUUUGAAUCGUUGGAAAUUGUUGUAAAUUGUUGUGAAUUGCAGUGAAUCACUUUGAAUCGUUUUGAAUCACUAUGAAUUAUUGUAAAUAACUUUGAAUCGUUGUGAAUUGUUGGGAUCUGGAUCCAAACAAAUAAAAAGGUUAAGUCUCUUGUUUUCGACUGUUUA
ensembl:lncRNA